CCUGUCUGCUAGAGUCAGUGUAUCGGGAGUUUCUGUUCAGAAACAAUUUCUCUGUGGCUUUUUUUUUUGGUCACAGGGGCCAAUUAGAGUCGUACUGAAGGCGGAACCUCCACAAGUUGGUAGAAAUGCACCGGCUUCCAGAUUCGUUUCAAGUGAGGCAUAUGCGUGGAUCAUUGGUUUUUCAUACCAAAAGUACCGAGUUUGAUUCUCGGUUAGCUUAACAAAAUGUCUUCACUCUACCCAAUUAGAGGCGAUCCUUAGCAGAAAUCAAGACACAGUUAAUACAUUGGUCAAAAGCCCAAAGUAAGUGAAUAAAUGAAGCAUCUAGCUUCGAUCUAGUAGAAGAGUUUUCAUCUGUACAAGUCAAUGUCUCAAGAGUUUCUUU